UACAGUCUUCGUCGCAAAUCCUUCACCCAGCGGCAGACGGCAGACUCUACUUCAAGCCGGUAGCCAUCGAUUUCCCCAAGACGUGGCCAGAGAGGAUCACAGCCCGACCCCAACUGCCGAACUAUUUCGCCAAUUGCGACGUUCCGCGUCGACAACCCUGCAUCGGUCGUAAGACGUGGACUUGCUGAACUUGUCAAAACGCAGGCGCUGCUACAGUCUUCGUCGCAAAUCCUUCACCCAGCGGCAAACGGUCGAGUCUACUUCAAGUCGGUAGCCAUCGACUUCCCCAAGACGUGGCCAGAGAGGAUCACAGCCCGACCCCUGCAGCCGAACUAUUUCGCCAAUUGCGACGUUCCGCAUCGACAACCCUGCAUCGGUCGUAAGAUGUGGACUUCCUGAACCUAUCAACACGCAGGAAACGGGAACAUGGCUAAGCUGCCUGUAUAUCGACCAUGGCUAAGCUGCCUGUAUAUCGACCAUGGCUAAGCUACCUGUAUAUCGACCGCACCCCUUUGCUACUGCUCAACGUCACCGCUCGGGAAAUUGACACGUCGGACGGUAGCUACGAGAACCUGUUGAUCGCCCGCCGCGCCAACCAACCAAGUGAUGUCUUCGUGCAAAACAUCCAGGCAUGAAUGAAAACUCAGUUUCAUUGUAACAUUAUGUUCUAACAGACGCAUACAUUGUAGACGUGUUGACGACCUCCGGUGUAUUGUAACGGUUUGAAUUGACUGUAGUAUUUGGCUGCCAUCUUGUUCGCGAGUAUGAGUUAUCGAGUGUGGCCUGUUCAUGUUUGCCUAUGCGUGCUGACACCGUGCUUCUUAAUUUAGUUAGUAAGCGAACGUUUCCAAGGCUAUAACGGCGAUAAAACUACUAUCCGUACUUCCAUUGCUGUCUUCUAAUUUGCUAUCGAAAUCGAUGCUUCGCCUUUCGGGGGACCUUUUUA